GUAGUUGGUGUCCGGGGCCUGCGCAGAAGGGGACAGUCCGCAAGGGGCGGAAGACAAGACAAAAAUGACUCCAGUUCGCUAUACGCGCAGAGAGGCGGAUAGCGCGCGGACCCCGCCUUCCCCAACCGAGCGUGAGUUCCAGUCGCUGGGGAGGACCUGGUAGCCCCCUGACCUUGGACGAGCCAUACUGGACGCCCCGGCGCCGUCCCGUCUUCCACGCUGCCAACUCCGCUGCUCCCGCCCCGAACUGCGGCCUCGAAGCCACCGCGGCGCACCUAGCCCACGGGCACAGCCGCAUGGGAAUAAUCUCAACAUUUGCCUGAUUUAUUUUCUUCCCUCUCCAUACGCUUGUACUUGUUUUUCUCCUCUCGCUGUUUUCCCUUCACACUAAUUCGCAACCUGGCAGUUUGCAAAGAGGAAACUCCCUUUUGGAAUGGAAAGCCGCUUUUGCUUCUUGUUGUUGGGGGUGGAAAACAUUCCAGCGUGAAUGAGUUCAAAGAGGGGAAACCGCGUCACUGGAGAGAAAGUAACAUUAAGAGAUCGAUGAGGACGGGGCGGGGGGGGGGGGGGGCGGGGGAGAGAGGAACCUCUGCAACAGGCAUCUAAAAACAAGCGUGGAGGAGCGAAGAGAUUCCCAAUCCCCAGGUUACCACCGCGCGCGUUCUGCGCGAGCCAUUGCAAUGCCAGGAUUUACUGUAAGCACAAUUUGAAGGCUUUUGAAAUCUUUUUUGGUAAGACUUACCUUUCUCUUCGGCAUAAUGACUAUGUCGGUGAAGCAAAAAGUAAAGCAACGGGCUGGAACUGCUGGCGCCGCCGCUGGAUGCUGCCUCUGCCGCUGCAGCUGCUCACGCGCAGGGCACGACGUAGCCCGGCCUCUUCGACCUGCACCUCCGCGGCUCCCUCCGGGGGCCCUGUGCUAGCCUCCCUGCUGCUCCAAUGAGGAGCCCCGCCAGCCAGCCGCGAGGCCCCAUUGGCUGAGGCAACGUUCUAAAUUCCACGAGGGCACGCCCACCUCCGCGCGCGGUACGCGCUGUUGUAGUUUCCACUUCACCGAAAAUAAUCUGCCUGGCGACUGAGCAUGCCCAGUUCAACUAGUAGCCUCCAGGCCACACAACCCUGAAGUUUCAUUGUUUCGCUGCUCUCUCUUUGAGAUUGUAAGAAUAAGAACAGUGUGUGCCUUCAUAGGAAGGAAAAAGAGUAAGAAUGAAUACGUAAACUUUAUAAUGUAAAUAUAUACAAAGCAAUUACUUCAUACAUUUCCUACCCAUAAAGGCUUUUAGUGAAUGUUACAUGAUGGGAACCUGUAAAGCGUGGGAAGGUACUCUGUUCUGGAAGAGCGUGGCAACCUCUAAAGGCCUCAAUUUCCCCCUUUAGAUAUAUAGUGACAAUAGUCCCUAAAAUCACUUAGCUCUAAUUUUCUAAAAUCUGUGAUUAUAAAUCACUCACUAAUUCAACCAACUUCAAACUAGAUGUGAAGACGAAUAGGACAUGCUUGUUAUGGAAAUUAGGAAAAGAAAUAACAAGGUAAAAACUGAUUAUUUUAUAUUUGAAACAUAUAUUUGAAUGACACCUGUCAUGUUACACUUUAUGCGUAAUGUUUCUCAAAGUUCUGCAAGGCAUAAAAUGAGCAUUGCAAAAGUAUUUCUGAAUUCAUUUUAUGAGAACAGAUUUACUCUGAUACCAAAACCAGUGAAAGACUUCAAAAGAAAAGAGACUUACAGACCAAUAUCGCUCAUAAACAUAGACACAAAAGCUGUGAACAAAAUUUUACUAAAUGAAACUCAACAUUUAAAGGGACAAUACAUCAUGACCUGUGGGGCUUAUCUUGGGAAUGCAAAGCUGCUUUUUUAAAAUCUGAGAAUCAAUCAAUGUAAUUGGCAGAAUUAAUAGAAUAAAGGGCAAAAACAAUCCUUUCAGCAGAUGCAAGAAAAGUGCUAGUGAAUGGGGAAGCAAAUUGUGAUGAGCACAUACAGUGGAAUACUACUCAGCAAUAAAAAGGAAUAAAUUUUCCUACAUGGAUGAAUAUCAAAAACAAAGUGCUGUAUGAAAGAAGCCAAAUAAAAAAGACCACACUGAAUGAUUUCAUUCAUAUGAAAUUAUAGAAAAAGCAAAAUCGGACAAAGUUAGUUUCAGAAUCAUCUUAUCAGGCAAAGCUCACAUCAUAGGAAAAUGUGUUGAAGCCUUACAUUAUGAAUAUGACCAAAUCCACUUUGGUAACACAGAGGCUGCAAAUAUGUACUAAAAAUAUCAUCAAGCAAUGAAAUUUAAUAUUUCACUUUUUCUUUAGUGAUUUUCAGAAUACAUUAAUUGAUCUAGCACACUCCAGGGGUGGUUAAUUACUUUCUUUUUUGAAACAUCUUUAUGAACUCAUGGAUUUUUACAUAUUUGGUGUGCAUCAGUGUAUUGCUAUCAUUAUUAUUACCUUUUUAAUGCUCCUUUACCACAUCUUAGCCAAUGCAUGCCCUUUCAAAUUAGUGCUUGCGUCCUUUUGACAUGAUCUCAAUUAUUUUUGAUAGAUUCCCUGUUCUCGGACAUUCAGUGAAUGACAAUAGCAUACUGAAAUGAACUAAGAUAAAAACUAACUGCUUACAGCUAGAUAAAAAUUUACAGGUUAAUAAUUUUAUCAUUAAAAUAAUAUUUAUAAUGAAGACAUCUUGCAAGAGAUUAAUUUGCCAAGUGCUUGAUAGUUAAAUAAAGAAAAAGUCGGUGAAAACAUUUUUAAUAAGAUAUAUGUGAGAAGGAUACUGAGUAGCACUUGCAAUCUGGACCGGAUGGCUAUUUUUCUUUAGGGAGAUGGAAAGGUGCCACAACAAAAGUAGUGCUAAAGUGAAUAUUUCUCCUCUGUGAUGAAAAAUAACUCAGAAAAUUGACUUAUUUGUUAAUUUUUUUUCAAAACCAAACAGAUCAACAACAGCAAACAAAAUUGUGAAUGUUUUUACUGCACACAAUAAAAAUGCUACAAU